ACCGCCUUUAUCAUGGGGGGCAUACCAUUUGAUGAUCUUUAAGAGAAAAUGGUUUUGCUGACAACACCAUAAUUUAAAUUAAAAUAACAAUUUUUGAACAC